rnacentral:rRNA from 1 species
GCAUGCGAUCAUAUUAGUACGUAUGCAUUAGAUUCCAUCAAAACUUCAAAGUUAAGCGCUUGGGCAAGAAUAGUUCUAAGAUGGGCUUGUCUUAUGACUUUCAUAGAUUCAGGCU